UUCAUCUUCUUGGGAAAAAACUGUUACGCAAUUAAACACUUCUUUUUUAGCAAAACAGAAAGUGGGCAUAUGUGUGACAAACACAA
rnacentral:snoRNA from 1 species